GAGGGCAGGCAGUGUAUUUGACAGAAUCAGCCCCGCUGAACCGAGGCUUGGGCAACAGCAGACACAUCAGCCUUGGACAAGACCACAGUCUCCACCUCCGAUGCCCCAGCAACCGGAAGAAAGGCACGAAAAUAUCCCCCGUGUUGCUCCCCCUAGAAAUAGGCGGCAGAGGAGGGAAGAAGAGGUUAGGAACCGUCCCGGAACCUCUCACCAACAACCACGACAAGAGGCCGAGGAAUAUGAUUCAGAUGAACAGCAGAGGUCCUGUGACUUGGACGAUGACGAUGAGAAUAUACCGUUCUCAAGGGAACUAAGGAACGCCCAAGUUCGAAACCACUAUGUGAUGCCAAAGAUACCAAAGUAUGAUGGAAGAGGAGACUCGGAGAAGCACCUAAAUGCUUAUAAAACCCACAUGAGCCUCAGAGGUGCCACCCUAGCUGUGAAGUGUAGAGCUUUCC
rnacentral:lncRNA from 1 species